GACGAACGCUGGCGGCGUGCUUAACACAUGCAAGUCGAACGGAGUGGCGAACGGGUGAGUAACACGUGGGUGAUCUGCCUUGCACUUCGGGAUAAGCUUGGGAAAAUGGGUCUAAUACCGGAUAGUGCAAGAUGAGCUCGCGGCCAAUCAGCUUGUUGGUGGGGUAAUGGCCUACCAAGGCGUCGACGGGUAGCCGGCCUGAGAGGGUGUACGGCCACAUUGGGACUGAGGUAGGGCCCAGACGCCUACGGGAGGCAGCAGUGGGAAAUAUUGCGCAAUGGGCGGAAGCCGGAUGCAGCGACGCUGGGGGGGGGAGGAAGGCCUUCGGGUUGUAAACUCCUUUCGACAGGGACGCGGUACCUGUAUAAGAAGCACCGGCUAACUACGUGCCAGCAGCCGCGGUAAUAC
rnacentral:rRNA from 1 species